UACGUAGGCAGCAAGCGUUGUUCGGAGUUACUGGGCGUAAAGGGUGCGUAGGCGGCUUUUUAAGUUUGGUGUGAAAUCUCCCGGCUCAACUGGGAGGGUGCGCCGAAUACUGAGAGGCUAGAGUGUGGGAGAGGAAAGUGGAAUUCCCGGUGUAGAGGUGAAAUUCGUAGAUAUCGGGAGGAACACCAGUGGCGAAGGCGGCGACCUGGGCCAAUAUUGACGCUGAGGUG
rnacentral:rRNA from 1 species